rnacentral:rRNA from 1 species
GAUUCUUCGGAUGAUUGAUUGGUGACUGAGUGGCGGACGGGUGAGUAACGCGUGGGUAACCUGCCCUGUACAGGGGGAUAACAGUUGGAAACGGCUGCUAAUACCGCAUAAGCGCACGAGAGGACAUCCUCUUGUGUGAAAAACUCCGGUGGUACAGGAUGGGCCCGCGUCUGAUUAGCUGGUUGGCAGGGUAACGGCCUACCAAGGCGACGAUCAGUAGCCGGUCUGAGAGGAUGAACGGCCACAUUGGAACUGAGACACGGUCCAAACUCCUACGGGAGGCAGCAGUGGGGAAUAUUGCACAAUGGGGGAAACCCUGAUGCAGCAACGCCGCGUGAGUGAAGAAGUAUUUCGGUAUGUAAAGCUCUAUCAGCAGGGAAGAUAAUGACGGUACCUGACUAAGAAGCUCCGGCUAAAUACGUGCCAGCAGCCGCGGUAAUACGUAUGGAGCAAGCGUUAUCCGGAUUUACUGGGUGUAAAGGGUGCGUAGGUGGCAGUGCAAGUCAGAUGUGAAAGGCCGGGGCUCAACCCCGGAGCUGCAUUUGAAACUGCAUAGCUAGAGUACAGGAGAGGCAGGCGGAAUUCCUAGUGUAGCGGUGAAAUGCGUAGAUAUUAGGAGGAACACCAGUGGCGAAGGCGGCCUGCUGGACUGUUACUGACACUGAGGCACGAAAGCGUGGGGAGCAAACAGG